rnacentral:tRNA from 1 species
ACUUGGUUGGCUCAGUUGGUUGAGCGUCAGACUUCGGCUCAGGUCAUGAUCUCAGCUUCGUGGGUUUGAGCCCCGCAUCAGGCU